rnacentral:rRNA from 1 species
GCAGCCGCGGUAAUACGUAGGGGGCAAGCGUUAUCCGGAUUUACUGGGUGUAAAGGGAGUGUAGGCGGUCUGGCAAGUCUGAUGUGAAACUCCGGGGCUCAACCCCGGAACUGCAUUGGAAACUGUCAGACUAGAGUGCAGGAGAGGAAAGUGGAAUUCCUAGUGUAGCGGUGAAAUGCGUAGAUAUUAGGAAGAACACCAGUGGCGAAGGCGGCUUUCUGGACUGUAACUGACGCUGAGGCUCGAAAGCGUGGGGAGCAAACAGGAUUAGAUACCCC